GGAUUCCCAAGUCUUCCUAGCCAGGGUUCAGCACUGAACAAAGGCCACUCACCAUGGACUUUGGGUUCAAAUUGGUUUUCUUUGUCUUUAUUUUAAAAGGUGGUCAGUGUGAAGUGCAGUUGUCGGAGUCUGGCGGAGGCUUAGUGCAACCAGGAAAGUCCCUGAAACUCACCUGUGCAGCCUCUGGAUUCACCUUUAAUAAUUACCCAAUGAACUGGAUCCGCCAGGCUCCCAGGCAGGGUCUGGAGUGGGUUGCAUCCAUUAGUAGUGAGGGUAGUAUCAUGACCUAUAUCGACGCUGUAAAGGGCUGGUUCACAAUCUCCAGAGACAAUGCCAAGAACACUCUGUACCUGGAAAUGAGCAGUCUGAGGUCUGAGGACACAGCCAUGUAUUACUGUGAGCUAAGGCACAGGUUUAAGGAGAACCUGGAUAUGCUCUGGUAUUCAGACCAUAGAAACAAUGUGACUAAAGGCAGCAGCUGA